UUUACUUAUGAUUGUCUGAUGAUUUUUCUACCAUCCUAAUGAUUUGUCUACCAUCUUUCUUUGUAGAGAGAUGCAGAGUUGUUAAUAAUGGGCUGCUUUUCCUUUAGAAGGUGUCUUCUGAGUGAGUAAGCCUUAAGUAGUGGAAAGAUUUUCUGUGCUUCAAAGGAAGGAUUUUAUUCAAGCAGAUGACAUCUUUCAAAUCAGAAGCAGCAUUUUAAGUUCAAGUGCUACAUUUUGGUCUGAAGCAGGUGAUUACUUUUAUAAAUCAGCUGUAAAAGUUUCAGAGACGUUGCGUGCAGCUGGCAGAUGUGACACGGCAUCCACGGGUGCAGCCAGGUGUGAUGCCUGAGGUAUCUGAAACCACACAGAACUCCUGUGUCUAGACAGCUGGAUUGUCCCCUGGUGACCACACUGAGGGGGAUUCAUCUGCCUCAUAAAGGUAUCCAAGAAUUAUUAUUCCUGUGUUGAA
rnacentral:lncRNA from 1 species